GACGAACGCUGGCGGCGUGCUUAACACAUGCAAGUCGAACGGAAAGGCCCUGCUUUUGUGGGGUGCUCGAGUGGCGAACGGGUGAGUAACACGUGAGUAACCUGCCCUUGACUUUGGGAUAACUUCAGGAAACUGGGGCUAAUACCGGAUAGGAGCUCCUGCUGCAUGGUGGGGGUUGGAAAGUUUCGGCGGUUGGGGAUAGACUCGCGGCUUAUCAGCUUGUUGGUGGGGUAGUGGCUUACCAAGGCUUUGACGGGUAGUCCGCCUGGGAGGGUGACCGGCCACAUUGGGACUGCGAUACGGCCCAGACUCCUACGGGAGGCAGCAGUGGGGAAUCUUGCACAAUGGGCGGACGCCUGAUGCAGCAACGCCGCGUGCGGGAUGACGGCCUUCGGGUUGUAAACCGCUUUCGCCUGUGACGAAGCGUGAGUGACGGUAAUGGGUAAAGAAGCACCGGCUAACUACGUG
rnacentral:rRNA from 1 species